AUGGAGGAAUUUUAUGAAGGUCUCAAUAUGAAAGUGGAACAACAAGUUCCUCUGCUUCUUGUAGAAAGACAGGCUUUAAAUGAAGCAAUGGAAGGAGAGAAAACUGGACACCACCACCUUCCUGAAACAAGAGGUUUGUGCUUAUCGGAAGAACAGACUGUCAGCACGAUAUUGAGGAGACCAAGAAUGACAGGAAACAAAAUUAUGGAAAUGAUAACAGAGCCGUAUAGGUUGACACGGCGAUGUGAAGUGACUGCAAUUCUCAUUCUAUAUGGUCUCCCAAGAUUGUUGACAGGUUCAAUUUUAGCUCAUGAGAUGAUGCAUGCGUGGUUGCGACUUAAAGGAUACCGCACGCUCACUCCAGAUAUAGAAGAGGGCAUAUGCCAAGUCCUCGCCCACCUGUGGAUCGAGUCGGAGAUCAUGGCUGGAUCAGGCAGCAACGCCGCGUCGACAUCCUCAUCCUCUUCGUCAUCCACAUCGUCGAAGAAGGGCGGGAGGUCUCAGUUCGAGCGGAAGCUCGGUGACUUCUUCAAGCACCAGAUCGAGUCGGACACCUCCGUUGCCUACGGGGAUGGUUUCAGGGCUGGGAACCGAGUUGUUCAGCAGUACGGCUUGAAGCGCACCCUCGAGCACAUCCGACUGACAGGGACCUUGCCGUUUUGA
rnacentral:rRNA from 1 species